rnacentral:rRNA from 1 species
GUAGGUGGCAAGCGUUGUCCGGAAUUAUUGGGCGUAAAGCGCGCGCAGGGCGGUCCUUUAAGUCUGAUGUGAAAGCCCACGGCUCAACCGUGGAGGGUCAUUGGAAACUGGGGGACUUGUGUACAGAAGAGGAAAGCGGAAUUCCAAGUGUAGCGGUGAAAUGCGUAGAGAUUUGGAGGAACACCAGUGGCGAAGGCGGCUUUCUGGUCUGUAACUGACGCUGAGGCGCGAAAGCGUGGGGAGCAAACAGGAUUAGAUACCCUGGUAGUCCACGCCGUAAACGAUGAGUGCUAAGUGUUAGGGGGUUUCCGCCCCUUAGUGCUGCAGCUAACGCAUUAAGCACUCCGCCUGGGGAGUACGGCCGCAAAGGCUG